rnacentral:rRNA from 1 species
UACGUAGGCAGCGAGCGUUGUUCGGAGUUACUGGGCGUAAAGGGUGCGUAGGCGGCGCGGUAAGUCGGGUGUGAAAUCUCGGAGCUUAACUCCGAAACUGCAUUCGAUACUGCCGUGCUUGAGGACUGGAGAGGAGACUGGAAUUUACGGUGUAGCGGUGAAAUGCGUAGAUAUCGUAAGGAAGACCAGUGGCGAAGGCGGGUCUCUGGACAGUUCCUGACGCUGAGGCACGAAGGUCAGGGGGAGCAAACGGGG